rnacentral:rRNA from 1 species
CUCCGGUUGAUCCCGCCGGACCCGACUGCUAUCAGAGUGGGACUAAGCCAUGCGAGUCAACAUAGCAAUAUGUGGCAUACGGCUCAGUAACACGUAGUCAACAUGCCCAGGGGACGUGGAUAACCUCGGGAAACUGAGGAUAAACCGCGAUAGGUCAUCACUUCUGGAAUGGGUAAUGACUUAAAUCUAUAUGGCCCCUGGAUUGGACUGCGGCCGAUCAGGCUGUUGGUGAGGUAAUGGCCCACCAAACCUGUAACCGGUACGGGCUCUGAGAGGAGGAGCCCGGAGAUGGGCACUGAGACAAGGGCCCAGGCCCUAUGGGGCGCAGCAGGCGCGAAACCUCUGCAAUAGGCGAAAGCUUGACAGGGUUACUCUGAGUGAUUUCCGUUAAGGAGAUCUUUUGGCACCUCUAAAAAUGGUGCAGAAUAAGGGGUGGGCAAGUCUGGUGUCAGCCGCCGCGGUAAUACCAGCACCCCGAGUGGUCGGGACGUUUAUUGGGCCUAAAGCAUCCGUAGCCGGUUCUACAAGUCUUCCGUUAAAUCCACCUGCUUAACAGAUGGGCUGCGGAAGAUACUAUAGAGCUAGGAGGCGGGAGAGGCAAGCGGUACUCGAUGGGUAGGGGUAAAAUCCGUUGAUCCAUUGAAGACCACCAGUGGCGAAGGCGGCUUGCCAGAACGCGCUCGACGGUGAGGGAUGAAAGCUGGGGGAGCAAACCGGAUUAGAUACCCGGGUAGUCCCAGCUGUAAACGAUGCAGACUCGGUGAUGAGUUGGCUUAUUGCUAACUCAGUGCCGCAGGGAAGCCGUUAAGUUUGCCGCCUGGGGAGUACGGUCGCAAGACUGAAACUUAAAAGAAUUGCCGGGGGAGCA